GGUUAAGCGACUAAGCGUACACGGUGGAUGCCCUGGCAGUCAGAGGCGAUGAAGGACGUGCUAAUCUGCGAUAAGCGUCGGUAAGGUGAUAUGAACCGUUAUAACCGGCGAUUUCCGAAUGGGGAAACCCAGUGUGAUUCGUCACACUAUCAUUAACUGAAUCCAUAGGUUAAUGAGGCGAACCGGGGGAACUGAAACAUCUAAGUACCCCGAGGAAAAGAAAUCAACCGAGAUUCCCCCAGUAGCGGCGAGCGAACGGGGAGCAGCCCAGAGCCUGAAUCAGUGUGUGUGUUAGUGGAAGCGUCUGGAAAGGCGUGCGAUACAGGGUGACAGCCCCGUACACAAAAAUGCACAUACUGUGAGCUCGAUGAGUAGGGCGGGACACGUGGUAUCCUGUCUGAAUAUGGGGGACCAUCCUCCAAGGCUAAAUACUCCUGACUGACCGAUAGUGAACCAGUACCGUGAGGGAAAGGCGAAAAGAACCCCGGCGAGGGGAGUGAAAAAGAACCUGAAACCGUGUACGUACAAGCAGUGGGAGCACGCUUAGGCGUGUGACUGCGUACCUUUUGUAUAAUGGGUCAGCGACUUAUAUUCUGUAGCAAGGUUAACCGAAUAGGGGAGCCGAAGGGAAACCGAGUCUUAACUGGGCGUUAAGUUGCAGGGUAUAGACCCGAAACCCGGUGAUCUAGCCAUGGGCAGGUUGAAGGUUGGGUAACACUAACUGGAGGACCGAACCGACUAAUGUUGAAAAAUUAGCGGAUGACUUGUGGCUGGGGGUGAAAGGCCAAUCAAACCGGGAGAUAGCUGGUUCUCCCCGAAAGCUAUUUAGGUAGCGCCUCGUGAAUUCAUCUCCGGGGUAGAGCACUGUUUCGGCAAGGGGGUCAUCCCGACUUACCAACCCGAUGCAAACUGCGAAUACCGGAGAAUGUUAUCACGGGAGACACACGGCGGGUGCUAACGUCCGUCGUGAAGAGGGAAACAACCCAGACCGCCAGCUAAGGUCCCAAAGUCAUGGUUAAGUGGGAAACGAUGUGGGAAGGCCCAGACAGCCAGGAUGUUGGCUUAGAAGCAGCCAUCAUUUAAAGAAAGCGUAAUAGCUCACUGGUCGAGUCGGCCUGCGCGGAAGAUGUAACGGGGCUAAACCAUGCACCGAAGCUGCGGCAGCGACGCUUAUGCGUUGUUGGGUAGGGGAGCGUUCUGUAAGCCUGUGAAGGUGUGCUGUGAGGUAUGCUGGAGGUAUCAGAAGUGCGAAUGCUGACAUAAGUAACGAUAAAGCGGGUGAAAAGCCCGCUCGCCGGAAGACCAAGGGUUCCUGUCCAACGUUAAUCGGGGCAGGGUGAGUCGACCCCUAAGGCGAGGCCGAAAGGCGUAGUCGAUGGGAAACAGGUUAAUAUUCCUGUACUUGGUGUUACUGCGAAGGGGGGACGGAGAAGGCUAUGUUGGCCGGGCGACGGUUGUCCCGGUUUAAGCGUGUAGGCUGGUUUUCCAGGCAAAUCCGGAAAAUCAAGGCCGAGGCGUGAUGACGAGGCACUACGGUGCUGAAGCAACAAAUGCCCUGCUUCCAGGAAAAGCCUCUAAGCAUCAGGUAACAUCAAAUCGUACCCCAAACCGACACAGGUGGUCAGGUAGAGAAUACCAAGGCGCUUGAGAGAACUCGGGUGAAGGAACUAGGCAAAAUGGUGCCGUAACUUCGGGAGAAGGCACGCUGAUACGUAGGUGAAGCGACUUGCUCGUGGAGCUGAAAUCAGUCGAAGAUACCAGCUGGCUGCAACUGUUUAUUAAAAACACAGCACUGUGCAAACACGAAAGUGGACGUAUACGGUGUGACGCCUGCCCGGUGCCGGAAGGUUAAUUGAUGGGGUUAGCGCAAGCGAAGCUCUUGAUCGAAGCCCCGGUAAACGGCGGCCGUAACUAUAACGGUCCUAAGGUAGCGAAAUUCCUUGUCGGGUAAGUUCCGACCUGCACGAAUGGCGUAAUGAUGGCCAGGCUGUCUCCACCCGAGACUCAGUGAAAUUGAACUCGCUGUGAAGAUGCAGUGUACCCGCGGCAAGACGGAAAGACCCCGUGAACCUUUACUAUAGCUUGACACUGAACAUUGAGCCUUGAUGUGUAGGAUAGGUGGGAGGCUUUGAAGUGUGGACGCCAGUCUGCAUGGAGCCGACCUUGAAAUACCACCCUUUAAUGUUUGAUGUUCUAACGUGGACCCGUGAUCCGGGUUGCGGACAGUGUCUGGUGGGUAGUUUGACUGGGGCGGUCUCCUCCUAAAGAGUAACGGAGGAGCACGAAGGUUGGCUAAUCCUGGUCGGACAUCAGGAGGUUAGUGCAAUGGCAUAAGCCAGCUUGACUGCGAGCGUGACGGCGCGAGCAGGUGCGAAAGCAGGUCAUAGUGAUCCGGUGGUUCUGAAUGGAAGGGCCAUCGCUCAACGGAUAAAAGGUACUCCGGGGAUAACAGGCUGAUACCGCCCAAGAGUUCAUAUCGACGGCGGUGUUUGGCACCUCGAUGUCGGCUCAUCACAUCCUGGGGCUGAAGUAGGUCCCAAGGGUAUGGCUGUUCGCCAUUUAAAGUGGUACGCGAGCUGGGUUUAGAACGUCGUGAGACAGUUCGGUCCCUAUCUGCCGUGGGCGCUGGAGAACUGAGGGGGCUGCUCCUAGUACGAGAGGACCGGAGUGGACGCAUCACUGGUGUUCGGGUUGUCAUGCCAAUGGCACUGCCCGGUAGCUAAAUGCGGAAGAGAUAAGUGCUGAAAGCAUCUAAGCACGAAACUUGCCCCGAGAUGAGUUCUCCCUGACCCUUUAAGGGUCCUGAAGGAACGUUGAAGACGACGACGUUGAUAGGCCGGGUGUGUAAGCGCAGCGAUGCGUUGAGCUAACCGGUACUAAUGAACCGUGAGGCUUAACCUU
rnacentral:rRNA from 1 species